rnacentral:lncRNA from 13 species
UGUCCCUUGAGUAAAUUUGUGUGCAGUGGUGGGGGGUGGGUAGUAGACAGACAUGCCCCCAGAUGAGAACCACUGAUUUUGGAAGGAGCUCACCUCACCACUAAUUGUCUAAGCCUCAGUUUCCACAAAAACUGGAUCUUCCCUGACAUCAUCGUUUAUUAUUCAUGGUGGUAGCUGAUAAGAGGAGAGAUAAUGCAGCCAGGGACAGAUGACUUCAGCUGUCACUCUACAUACCGUCUCCUACACCACAGAGAGCAAGGAAAGACAAUGGUUCCACAGCAGAUGAGCAGACAAGAUGAACAAAAGAGCAGCAGCAGAGUGGUGCGGCAGAGAAGGAGAGAAGAGAAGGAGCAUCUGAACAUCAAGAGGAGUUUGGCUGGGGAUAGCUGGAGAGGAGAUCAGCCACACAAUAGCAAAUCCAGGGGAAGAACAUCUUCUCACCCCAUCCCCUUUACAGCUCCCCAUCCAUUCUGCUGACAGCCACCUCCACCACUCAAUAAAACCCCCAGGUUUGCCA